CUGAGAUUUGCGAGUCCAAAAUCAGAAAGCUUUGGGCUGAAAUCUUCAUCGAGCAAGAUGUUUGAUGACUUCAAAUCACGAAAUAUUAUGGGAGGAUCCGUCUGGUCAUGCAGAUAAGUGUCAUGAUGAUCGAAGAGGAUAGGGCAUCAUCUAACACACCAAGAAGAGUGUGCAUUAGAGUCAAUUUUAGACAUAAGUAAGAUUGGAGAAACCGAGGUGACACGAGUAGGACCCCGAACCAUAACCUCAAAUACUACCCCAAUCAUUAUUUUGUAUUUGGUUGUAAAUGUUAAAUAGUAAAUAGUAUUAUUUUGUAUUUGAUUGUAAAUAUAAACUAUUUUCUAAAUAGUUUUUAAUAGCUCUUGUUUGUAUAUUUUUAUUUUCUUAAUGAAUUUUAGUAAAUUUAUUCUUAAGUUUCCAUUUA